rnacentral:rRNA from 1 species
UACAGAGGUCUCAAGCGUUGUUCGGAUUCAUUGGGCGUAAAGGGUGCGUAGGUGGCGCCGUAAGUCAGGUGUGAAAUCUCGGGGCUCAACCCCGAAACUGCACUUGAUACUGCGGUGCUCGAGUACUGGAGAGGAGAUUGGAAUUUACGGUGUAGCGGUGAAAUGCGUAGAUAUCUGGAGGAACACCGGUGGCGAAGGCGGCAUUCUGGACCGAAACUGACGCUGAGGCGCGAAAAGCCAGGGGAGCAAGCGGG